rnacentral:rRNA from 1 species
UAAGGAAUAUUGGUCAAUGGACGCAAGUCUGAACCAGCCAUGCCGCGUGAAGGAUGAAGGUCCUCUGGAUUGUAAACUUCUUUUAUCUGGGACGAAAACGGGAUUUUUAUCUCAAUUGACGGUACCAGAGGAAUAAGCACCGGCUAACUCCGUGCCAGCAGCCGCGGUAAUACGGAGGGUGCGAGCGUUAUCCGGAUUUACUGGGUUUAAAGGGUGCGUAGGUGGGCGUAUAAGUCAGUGGUGAAAUCUCCGAGCUUAACUUGGAAACUGCCGUUGAUACUAUAGGUCUUGAAUUAUCUGGAGGUAAGCGGAAUAUGUCAUGUAGCGGUGAAAUGCUGAGAUAUGACAUAGAACACCAAUUGCGAAGGCAGCUUACUACAUAUAAAUUGACGCUGAGGCACGAAAGCGUGGG